rnacentral:rRNA from 1 species
GACGAACGCUGGCGGCGUGCUUAACACAUGCAAGUCGAACGGGAUUUAGUAAACAGAAACCUCGGUGGAAGAUUACUAAUGAGAGUGGCGAACGGGUGAGUAACGCGUGAGCAACCUGCCUAUGACAGUGGGAUAGCCUCGGGAAACCGGGAUUAAUACCGCAUAACAUCGUAGAAACACAUGUUUUAACGGUCAAAGAUUUAUCGGUCAUAGAUGGGCUCGCGUCUGAUUAGCUAGUUGGUGAGAUAACAGCCCACCAAGGCGACGAUCAGUAGCCGGUCUGAGAGGAUGAACGGCAACAUUGGAACUGAGACACGGUCCAAACUCCUACGGGAGGCAGCAGUGGGGAAUAUUGCACAAUGGGAGAAACCCUGAUGCAGCGACGCCGCGUGAACGAAGAAGGUAUUCGUAUCGUAAAGUUCUGUCCUAUGGGAAGAUAAUGACAGUACCAUAGAAGAAAGCUCCGGCUAAAUACGUG